rnacentral:rRNA from 1 species
UGGUGCCUACGGGACGCAGCAGUGAGGAAUAUUGGUCAAUGGCCGAGAGGCUGAACCAGCCACGUCGCGUGAGGGAUGACGGCCCUACGGGUUGUAACCCUCUUUUGCCGGGGAGCAAAGAGCGGGACGCGUCCCGCCUCGAGAGUACCCGGAGAAAAAGCAUCGGCUAACUCCGUGCCAGCAGCCGCGGUAAUACGGAGGAUGCGAGCGUUAUCCGGAUUUAUUGGGUUUAAAGGGUGCGCAGGCGGAAGCGCAAGUCAGCGGUAAAAUUGAGAGGCUCAACCUCUUCCCGCCGUUGA